ensembl:lncRNA MSANTD2-AS1 MSANTD2 antisense RNA 1
UCCCGGGGCGAAGGGCGGGGACGAGGCGCGCCGAAGCCCCGAGCUGAAGAGAAGGGUGGGGGCAUGAGGGCGCUGGAGUGAGGAACAGAUUGGAGCCUUCCCACUUCCUCUCCAAUCUCAGCCCCCGGGAGGAGGGGUGAGGCCCUCGAGGGGGCCCGGAGUUAAGGAGGAAUAGACCGUUUCUCUCUCUCCUGUCUCCCCCGCCUCUGCCCGUCUUCCCUCUAAGCCGGCCUCUAGGUGCAGAGGCUGACGUCCAGGAUGGGGACCGGGGAAGCCUCUGGAGGGUAUAUCCGGGAAGGCACCAAGGCUGAAGUGAGAGCGGUUCUGGGGAAGGCUUUAAAAAGCAGAUAUGGACCAGGGUAGAGUUCGUACGCUGUAGCUUUUCAAGAACACCGAUCUCAUUAAUUAAAGAACAGCAACUAUUUAAUUCCAGUUAUAAACUAUUGUUUUCCAGUUAGUCUGGGUAGGUGUGGCCGUUUGUAGAAUAGUUAGAUUACAUUAGUCUAUUGCGUUGGUACAGUUGUCUAUAGCUUGAGCAUAUAAAAACUCCUGAGCCCAGCAGAAAAGUUACUUUCCAAUACCAGUCUCCAUCCUCCGUGCUUUGGAAGUUGCAUCGUUUUCCGGUUUUUCGUACUCAAAGAACACUGUCAAUUAUGACAGCUCUGUGACCUCUGAAAGAUGCAGUCUAGCACCUCAGUUAAGAAUAUGGACUCUAAAGUCAGACUGCCAGGCUUCAAAUUCCAGUUCUGCGACCUCAGCAAAGUUACUUAACCAAGCUCUCAGUGCCUUGUUUUCUUCAUCUGUAAAAUGAGGAUGACGUCACAGCAUUGUUGAGAGAAUUAAUACAGGCUCCAGACUUGUGAAUGGAGAAGUGUUGAGGUGACCCCAGCUCCAGCCACCAGCUGACGACAACCAUACCGGAGAUCCUGAGAGCUGCCUAGCUGACCCCAGGCACCCCCCAGACUUAUUCAGCACUUAGAAGAAUGCCAGGCAGGCUUUCCCCACCAACCAAGAUGGAAUAACAGGGAAAAGACAUACCCUUCUAUCUUCAAUAAUUGGAAACCCAGACAAAGUUUAUGAAACGCUGGUUUUCAAGACAUAGGACAUCAGACAAUCAAGGACAGUAAACACUGAGAUGGGAAACAAACAAGGUGAGUACUGCAAUUGCCCAACAUUACUAGCUGGAAAGAGUUUCCCGACCAUGGCAGAGGGAGGAGGAUCCUUUGAGGUUCUGUGGUGUCCCUGAGUUGAGGAGACAAAGUUGAAAUUCCAGAGUGGUCAAGGCAGCUGGAGUUUGUAGAGCAGAGUACCAGAAAGAAAAUAGAUGCACAGAGAGAACCUCAGAGAUCUGCAAAAGAUCUCAGCUCUUCAGCUGUGCACCUAUCAGUACAUGCAUGUGACAAAGCACCCCAAGGCCAGGGGAAGAAUCACCUGAAAGUAUGAAGAGAAGAAUACUUGGAGCAUAUACAAACCAGGAAUAAUUUCAGUUCUCACCAGCCAAAUUGGAAGACCCCAUAGAUAACAGGCAUUAGGUAGAGCAGGGGUCCCCAACCUCCAGGGGCACUGACCAGUACUGUUCAUGGCCUGUUAGGAACUGGGCUGCACAGCAGGAGGUGAGCGGCAGGCUAGCCAGCAAACCUUCAUCUGUAUUUAUAGCUCCCAUCACUUGCAUUACUCCCCAUCACUCCCCAUCACUUGCAUUACCACCUGAGCUCCACCUCCUCUCAGAUCAGCAGCAGCAUUAGAUUCUCAUAGGAGUGUGAACCCUACUGUGAACUGCACAUGCAAGGGAUCUAGGUUGUGCACUGUUUAUGAGAAUCUAAUGCCUGAUGAUCUGAGGUGCAGCUGAGGCAGCAUAGCUAGGAGGUAGGUAUUUUGUUGCUGGGGACUCAUAUCAAAACCCUAUCAGUGAGUGGCAAGUGACAAUUAAGCUGCAUCUGGUGGCAGACUUUAUAGAGGCAAGUGAGUCAAUGUAUUUCAAUUGCACAGCUCUAUCUGGUGGCAAGUUUUAAGUCAGAAUCUGACACUUAAUUUAGUCUGUGCAUGGCCUGCCCAUUAUUUUAUUUACCACUUCUGUCUGUGCCUCUUUGCUGCACUGAACACUUGUCUCAGUCACAGUUUUGGUAAGCCCACAAGCUAACCCUAGCUAAAAUGAGUAAAAAGCAAACGACACUGGAGAGCUUCUUUGAAAAGUCAGAGAGACCCAAUGAUGAGACAGCAGAAGACUCUUAAGACUGCCAACAAAAAGAAAGCUGCACUUAAAAGAAAAUACCAGACUGGGCGUGGUGGCUCACACCUGUAAUCCUAGCACUUUGGGAGGCUGAAGCAGGUGGAUCCCUUGAGGCCAGGAGUUUGAGACCAGCCAAGCCAACA